rnacentral:lncRNA from 1 species
UUCCAAAUACUGCACCUUCGAGUGGCGACCUUUGGGGGACCCACAAAAGCUACGCCAAGCCCACCUGUCUCACCUCUACUCGCACACGUACACAGACCAAUGUCCCAACACAAAUCAUCAAUCGUCUCCCACCUGAGAACAAUGCGUUGGUGACGGCGUUAUGAAUCGGACAUGCAGACCAAUGAGGUUCUCGCAGGAGGCCCUUCCGUCAAGUGACGCCGUUCACGGCGAGUGGUGAAAGGUCCUUGUGAUCCCCUUAUAUAUAUAUAUAUGGACAAGCGGUCUCCGCCUCUUCGUGCGUCUUCUUCCUCGCUCACUUCGCCCCUUCACCUUUCUCUCGCGCCCACCUGUCUUCUCUCAUCUUUUCCUUGCAUGGCAGCCGAUCUGAAGGGGCGAGUGCUCGCCGGAGGCUACGGAAGGCGCCUAGUGAACCACAUCUUGGCCGUCUCUCUGACGUCGGUUCUUCCAGGUUCGGCCGGUCGGUGAAGAGGUGAGUGCACGCUUCGUCGUACGACAGGAACGAGGGGGAGCAGGUGCGCCCCGGCGUGGUGCCGGGCGUCUUCGGCCCCGCCGCAGAUACGGGCGCUGCAGCCAACGCGGCGAGUGGCCCGUCCGCGCUGGACCGUACGGUGUGGUACCGCCCCCUGGCCGAAGGCGUCGACGACAUGCUCCAGCAGCAGCACUAAAUCAAUGCUAGUAGUGGUCAGUAGUAUCGGGCGAGAGAAGCACCGG